UACGUAGGGGGCAAGCGUUGUCCGGAAUUAUUGGGCGUAAAGCGCGUGUAGGCGGCUCGGUAAGUCUGCUGUGAAAGUCCAAGGCUCAACCUUGGAAAGCCGGUGGAUACUGUCGAGCUCGAGUCCGGAAGAGGCGAGUGGAAUUCCUGGUGUAGCGGUGAAAUGCGCAGAUAUCAGGAGGAACACCAAUGGCGAAGGCAGCUCGCUAGGACGGUACUGACGCUGAGGCGCGAAAGCGUGGGGAGCAAACAGG
rnacentral:rRNA from 1 species